rnacentral:lncRNA from 1 species
AGACAAGGAAGGGGCACCCCCUUCAGAAAGGGUUUAGGGUCCUGAGUUCCUGGGCAAUGGGAGUCCCUCGGGGUUGAGGGUUUGGAGUCAGAGGUGUGUAAGGGUUGCUUCUCCACCUGCGUCUCUGGGCACCUCUAGCCAGACACUGCUGUGGCUCAGGUGGAGAGCAAGCGGGGCAUCAGGGUAGAGGCCUCUCCUGCACCAUUGCGCUUGCGAUAUCGUGUUUGUGUGUGUGUCUGUUGCCGUUAGGCCGAGUGCAGUGUCAUGUUUGUGUGUGUGUUUGUUGCCAACGUUAGGCCAAGUGCGACGUCAUGUUUGUGUGUGUGUCUGUUGCCAACGUUAGGCCAAGUGCGAUGUCGGAGAGGUGGUGUUGGGUGUUUCUGCCACAUGUUGUGGCAUGGAGGGCCCCUGCUUCCCAGUGUCCUGUGAGGGGCUCCACAUGAUGUCUGAGCUGCCCUUUCUUUUAUUUUGCUG